AGGGAAAAGCCUAUACAUACAUUGCCUGGACAAUCAUCCCAUUCUCUCGCAUUCGCAAUAGCGUUUUUUAGCUUUUUCUCUUUUACGCGACACGCAUAAGUUGCGGCUGGCUGACUGCCAAAUUUAUUUAAGUUUAAAUAUCUAUGUUUCUUUGCUUCAUUGAGUUUCUUUACGUGGCAAUAUCUCAGUUUAUUCCUGGCGCAUAAUUUUGAUUUCAUUUAAGUAAAGGAUUGGCACUAGAGGUCAGGGGUUACAUUCUCUACGUGAUUGCCCAUGAUUGUUUGUAUUAUUAUUUGCAACUUUUAAACGCCGAAAAUUCAGUUACCGCAUGAAUUAUACAACCAAACGAAGCUGGUUAGCAUAAUAAAGCGCGUCCAACUGAAGUGCGUAUAAGGGGUGCCGAGUCCUUUAGGCAAAAGAACGUCUGCAGCCGCGACAGUAACUGAAUUCGCUUGAACGCCGGAAGCGGUUGCAGCAAGGAAACCGACGUUGAAGAAGCGAAUACUUAGUUGUAUAUAUAAAAAAUCGAAGCUUAAUGGAAGAAGAAAACAUGAAUGCUAUAGAUGAUCGUAAUGUGACAGUACGAAGGAAACAGACAACUUGUUCUGACACCGACCAAAUGCUACAUUGGAGAGAAGCCGAAAGUUUCUUAAGAUCCACGGUGAACCGACUAGAAGAAAUUACGAUCACUGCAAACGACAAAAACGACAUACAGAAAGCGACAAGUGACGUGUUCGCUGCAAAGAGAAAGUUUGACGAUGUAAUGUCAACAAUACCCGCGGAACACGCUGAGCUCGUUGCCUAAAGAAG